UAAGAAUGAAAAUGAAAAUAAAAGUAAAAAUAAAAGUAAAAAUAAGAAUAAGAGUGAGAAUAAGAGAGAAUGAUAAUAAAAGUAAGAAUAAGAGUAAAAAUAAGAAUAAAAAUAAAAGUAAGUGAGAAUGAGAAUGAAAAUAAAAAAAAAUGAGAAUGAAAAUAAAAAUAAAAGUAAGAAUAAGAGUAAAAAUAAGAAUAAGAGUGAGAAUGAGAGAGAAUGAUAAUGAGAGUAAUAAUAAGAAUAAAAAUAAAAAUGAAAAUAAGAGUAAGAGAGAAUAAGAAUGAAAGUAAGAAUAAAAAGUAAAAAUAAAAAUAAAAAUAAAAGUAAGAAUAAGAGUAAAAAUAAGAAUAAGAGUG
rnacentral:sRNA from 1 species